GUCCACACCGUAACGAUGAUUACUAGGUGUUGGAGGAUUGACCCUUCAGUGCCGCAGUUAACACAAUAAGUAAUCCACCUGGGAGUACGACCGCAAGGUUGAAACUCAAAGGAAUUGACGGGCCCGCACAAGCAGUGGAGUAUGUGGUUUAAUUCGACGCAACGCGAAGAACCUUACCAAGUCUUGACAUCCUGCGACGAACAUAGAAAUAUGUUUCCUUCGGGACGCAGAGACAGGUGGUGCAUGGUUGUCGU
rnacentral:rRNA from 1 species